AUAGGAAUUGCCUGGGGAUCUUAUUAAAAUACAGAUUUUGAUAGAGUAGGUCUGGGUGGGGUCUGAAAUUCUGCAUUUCUAACCAGCUCCCAAGUGAUACCCAG
rnacentral:pre_miRNA from 1 species